AACACAAAAUAAUUACAGGAGCAAUAAAAUAAAAAAGAGAAGUGAAUAAAAAUAAAAGGAAGCACACAAAUAAAUUAGAAGAAAGAACUGCCCAGAGGGUGGUGCAGUUUCUCCUAGAGAACACUUCAUUUUUUUGCACAGACGGUGGUGCUGUUUCUCCCAGAAAAAGCACCAUCUAAAUCCUGAAACUUGCAACAGAAAAAGAAAAAGAAGGUGGCUUAAAAAUAAAAAGAGAGUGAUGAAAAAUAAAAAAGAGUGCAAGCUAAAUGCUAAAGCUAACACGCACAGGAUUAUGGGAUCUUGAGUUCGGAAACCCACAGGAAACAUGGCCAGCGGGAGAAAUCACUGUUAUUGGGAUUUUACUGCUCGUAAUGUCCUCUUUGUUUGUGUGUUUGGAGCACCAACUGACAAGGAAGACUUUUACUCCCAUCUCUCAAAAACUCAUCCCUGUACUGUCCAUCCAUAGUCCAGAGCCUAUAGGUGAUGCGGCUGAUUGGUUAGACUGAUGCAGGGGGAUGACUCUUUCUCGUUCCACGCUCCCUGGCCAGCCAGUCAGAGAAAUGGACACGUUUGGCAUAUUUGCUGUUCAUUUGUUGCUCUUUUAUAAUGUUUUUGGUUAGAGGAGAUUUUU